AGGAGAGUUUGAUCCUGGCUCAGGACGAACGCUGGCGGCGUGCCUAACACAUGCAAGUCGAACGGGGUAAGGACACCGGAUGAAGAUUCGUCAGAUUCCACCGUCCUUACUUAGUGGCGGACGGGUGAGUAACGCGUGGGCAACCUGCCCUGUACAGGGGAAUAGCAGCUGGAAACGGCUGGUAAAACCGCAUAUGCGCGCAGUACCGCAUGGUACAGCGCGGAAAACUCCGGUGGUACAGGAUGGGCCCGCGUCUGAUUAGCUUGUUGGUGAGGUAACGGCCCACCAAGGCGACGAUCAGUGGCCGGCCUGAGAGGGUGAACGGCCACAUUGGGACUGAGACACGGCCCAAACUCCCUACGGGAGGCAGCAGUGGGGAAUAUUGCACAAUGGGGGGAACCCUGAUGCAGCGACGCCGCGUGGAGGAAGAAGUAUUUCGGUACGUAAACUCCUAUCAGCAGGGAAGAUGAUGACGGUACCUGACUAAGAAGCCCCGGCUAACUACGUGCCAGCAGCCGCGGUAAUACGUAGGGGGCAAGCGUUAUCCGGAUUUACUGGGUGUAAAGGGGAGCGUAGGGCGGCGGUGCAAGUCAGCAGUGAAACCCCGGGCCCCAACUCCGGGCAUGCUGUGAAAACUGCAUUGCUUGAUUCCGGGAGGGGUAAAGCGGAAUUCCUGGUGUAGCGGUGAAAUGCGUAGAUAUCAGGAGGAACACCGGUGGCGAAGGCGGCUUACUGGACCGGCAAUGACGCUGAGGCUCGAAAGCGUGGGGAGCAAACAGGAUUAGAUACCCUGGUAGUCCU
rnacentral:rRNA from 1 species